rnacentral:rRNA from 1 species
UACGAAGGGUGCAAGCGUUAGUCGGAAUUACUGGGCGUAAAGGGUGCGUAGGCGGUUCGUUAAGUCUGUCGUGAAAUCCCCGGGCUCAACCUGGGAAUGGCGAUGGAUACUGGCGAGCUAGAGUGUGUCAGAGGAUGGUGGAAUUCCCGGUGUAGCGGUGAAAUGCGUAGAGAUCGGGAGGAACAUCAGUGGCGAAGGCGGCCAUCUGGAUCAACACUGACGCUGAGGCACGAAAGCGUGGGGAGCAAACAGG